ensembl:snRNA U7 U7 small nuclear RNA
UGGAACUAAGCUCUUUUAGUAAUUUUCUAGCAGGAUUUCUAUAAAGGAAAUCCCCC